UGGAAUUCAUUUCAAUAGUAUUGCUGAAUUUUCUUUUUUUACAGAGAUAACUUGGAAUGGUUGGCAAGGGCCACUAACUGGGCAAAAUUUACAGCUACAGCCAGUCUGGGUGUAAUUCAUAAGGGUCAUGAGAAGGAAGCAUUACAGUUAAUGGCAACAUAUCUUCCCAAGGACACCUCUCCAGGUUCAGCCUAUCAGGAAGGUGGAGGUCUCUAUGCAUUAGGUCUCAUUCAUGCUAAUCAUGGUGGUGAUAUAAUUGACUAUCUGCUUAACCAGCUUAAGAAUGCCAGCAAUGAUAUUGUUCGACAUGGUGGCAGUCUGGGCCUUGGUUUGGCUGCCAUGGGGACUGCGCGCCAGGAUGUGUAUGAUCUGCUAAAAACAAACCUUUAUCAGGAUGAUGCUGUGACAGGUAAGUGAUUCUUUCCAGAGAAA